rnacentral:rRNA from 1 species
AUUGAACGCUGGCGGCAGGCCUAACACAUGCAAGUCGAACGAGUGGCGGACGGGGGAGUAAUGUCUGGGAAACUGCCCGAUGGAGGGGGAUAACUACUGGAAACGGUAGCUAAUACCGCAUACAAUCGGAUGUGCCCAGAUGGGAUUAGCUAGUAGGUGGGGUAACGGCUCACCUAGGCGACGUUCCCUAGCUGGUCUGAGAGGAUGACAAUCCACACGGGAACUGAUACACGGUCCCGACUCCUACGGGAGUCAGCAGUGGGGAAUAUUGCACAAUGGGCGCAAGCCUGAUGCAGCCAUUCCACGUGUAUGAGGCAGGCCUUCGGGUUGUAAAGUACUUUCAGCGAGGAGGCGUUACUCGCAGAAGAAGCACCGGCUAACUCCGUGCCAGCAGCCGCGGUAAUAC